GAUGAACGCUGGCGGCGUGCCUAAUACAUGCAAGUCGAGCGAACGGACGAGAAGCUUGCUUCUCUGAUGUUAGCGGCGGACGGGUGAGUAACACGUGGAUAACCUACCUAUCAGACUGGGAUAACUUCGGGAAACCGGAGCUAAUACCGGAUGAUAUUUUGAACCGCAUGGUUGAAAAGUGAAAGACGGUCUUGCUGUCACUUAUCGAUGGAUCCGCGCUGCAUUAGCUAGUUGGUAAGGUAAAGGCUUACCAAGGCAAGCAUGCAUGGCCGACGUGAGAGGGGGAUCGGCCACACUGGAACUGAGACGCGGUCCAGACGCCUACGGGAGGCAGCAGUAGGGAAUCGGCGGCAGUAGGCGAGAGCCUGGCGGAGCAACGCGACGUGAGUGGUGAAGGCCUUCGGAGCGGAAAACUCUGUUAUUAGGGAUGAACAGAUGUGUAAGGAGCUGUACAGAUCGUGACGGUACCGAGUCAGAAAGCCACGGCUAACUACGUG
rnacentral:rRNA from 1 species